GCAACGCGCAGAACCUUACCAUCAUUUGACAUGGGGUGUUAUAGGGAGAGAUUCCCAGUCCACUUCGGUGGAGCGCACACAGAUGACGCAUGGCAGUCGUCAGCUUGUGUCGUGAGAUGUUGGGUUAAGUCCCGCAACGAGAGCAACCCACGUCCUUAGUUGCCAUCAUUCAGUAGGGCACUGUAGGGAGACAGCCGGUGAUAAGCCGUGAGGAAGGUGUGGAUG
rnacentral:rRNA from 1 species